rnacentral:rRNA from 1 species
UACGGAGGGUGCAAGCGUUAUCCGGAUUCACUGGGUUAAAGGGUGCGUAGGUGGGCUGGUAAGUCAGUGGUGAAAUCUCCAGGCUUAACUUGGAAACUGCCAUUGAUACUAUCAGUCUUGAAUACCGUGGAGGUCAGCGGAAUAUGUCAUGUAGCGGUGAAAUGCUUAGAUAAUGACAUAGAACACCAAUUGCGAAAGGCAGCUGGC